AGCAAAAAUGUCUCGAAACGAAAAAUUGAAUAUGUAUAGAAUUGAAUAUUUCUAUAUAGUAUAGUUUUCUUUUUUUUUUCGGCACUUACACAUGCACUUAAUGACUUGGAUGAAGAAGAAUACGGCUAAGAAUUCUUCGACGUCGUCGUCGCGAGAACGAUAAUAAAGCGAAUGCGAAUGCAAAGACACAGCGCCAGCGUCGAAAACACACAAAACCAGCAGGAGAUUGCGCUCAGAGCGACAGACAUAAAGAGAGAACGCGGCAGAGAGAGCAUGUGCCGCAAAAAAGUGUGACCAAAUUUUGUCAAUGUUGAAAAUGGCAAAACAAAUUCUAUUAACAAGAAUAUUAGCAGCUUAACAGAGACUGCAGCUGCAAUACUGUUGAUAUAUUAAACAUAAAAAAACAUUGCUGCUUUACAUUUUUUCUAUAUGAGCGACCGACAACUUAAGAUACCGAUAGGCCGGACUGCAUGCACGCACUAUAUAUUUUUCGUCAAAUGAUUUAAAUUGUUUAAGCGCGCGCUGCCGCACGCAUCCCGAUAAACAGAGACGAGGUAGCAACAACAAGAGCAAUUGAACAGCUGCUCGAGUACAAGUGCACAAUGCCUGCAGGGUUGCCACAAUUUAGUAAAUUUGCGAAAUUACAUUUAGCUAAAUUUAUCAAUAAAAAUUGGCACAUGUAGUUCAAAUGAAAAACUUUUUCAAGCAUCAACUGUCGAAGUUAUUCAAUAGAUGCGUAACUCGCAAAAAAAACGCAAGUCAAACACGCACACAUCACACACACACACACACACACACACACACAUACGCAUUUGCGUGCACACGAGCCUAUUUGUAAAUUAAUUACAUUUGCUGUGCCUGGACCAUUUUAAUAGAUUCAUUAAAGCAUGUUUACAUAAAACAAA